GAUUUGUCUUGUGAUCCCGGCAAGAUAACUUUGUGCAGCUUUGAACAGUUAAGAAUGGAGCGGAUUUUUGUUACCCUGUCAGCUUUGCUUUGUGCAUUUUCCAUUACCCAAGCAGAGUACCUAAAGUUUACCAAACAUUACGAAGAUGACGUGUAUGAAUUCAUCAACUUUCUGAAGAAGCCUUUCUUACCAGAGCGUUUCAAGACACUGGAGUUCUUUCAGAAAGCGGGUUUGGACCACAGCAAGAGGUUGACAGCUUUCUCCUUCAAGAACUGUGGAGGAAUGAUAGAUGUAAGAAGCCUGUCAGUGCAGCCUGACCCCCUCCAGUUCCCUGGAACCAUCACUUUCAGCGCUAGUGCUGCCCUCAACACCACUCUCUCAGCUCCCCUCAAUGCUAAAAUAGAACUGAAGAAGAAAGCUGCUGGAAUUUGGGUUCCACUUCCAUGCAUUGACCAGAUCGGUUCAUGCAGUUAUGGUGAUAUUUGUCAGUUGCUGGAGCAGAUUACCCAGUGUCCCCCUCAGCUCACUGCUAUCGGCAUUGAUUGUAAAUGUCCCAUUAAAGCAGUAAGUUUAGAUUGUGUCCCUACGGUAACUGAUCAUCAUAGGCAUGAUUUAAAUAAAGACUGUAUAUGUGUACCGGUACUCAAUAAAUUUCAUUUAUUUUGAUAGUAGAAAAAUAAUGAUCCAAUGAAUAAUCUUUCACAGUUAAUUUCAGGCAUUGUAUUUAUAUUUCUUCAAAUCAAAUUUACCAAUUGAAGAUAUUUUUUCUUAUUCCUUAUUUGAUUUACUGUGUAUUUAUUGAAUUUAGGGCAAGUAUACCUUACCAAGUAUGAGCCAGGACAUUGGGGCGGAAGCAUUUCCAUCGGGAGACUACGAGGUCACUGGUACGGUGACUGACAAGGACGGGAAAGUGGCGGCCUGUCUGGAGGUCCAAUUGUCCGUUGCCUAGGAUACCAUCAGUAUGGCAGUUGAUAUACUCAAAGUUGAGAAACUACAUGGAAGAGAUUUUCUUAAGUUGCACUCUACACCAAAAAUAUUUCGAACUUAUUAAAUAUUGUCUGUUCUAUUUGAAAUCUAUGUAAAAGAUAGAUGAUAUGAUACACAAAAAUAAAAAAGUAAAAAAUAUUUUAAAACUGAAAUUACUUAGAGAAGCCAAACUUCUAAAAGUGACUUGUAUCUCUUUUUUUCAUGUAAAGAUGUUCGGUUGAAAAAAAUUAGUUUUGGAUGUGAAAUGAGAUGAAAUUGAAAUUUACAUACAUUUACUUGCAGCAGGUAACGUAUACAUUCCUGACAUUAUUUGGUGAAGAGAUGAAGAAUAUAACAUAUGAUGGCUUCAUUUCAAAAUUUGUUACUACAAGGUUUCUUUUUUAUUUCAAGAAUUAUUUUUUUUCAUUUACAGAAACAGCUUUUGGAAGUAAUUUUACAUUUAUGUAUAAAAGAGGGAUUUUUCCUUCUAAAACAUUCUUGCAUAUUUUUUUUUCCAUUUGAAAAUUGAAAAGGAAAUACUUAUGAAAUAUGUUGCUUUGAUAUGCUGAGCCUUAGAAAUCUCUUUUUGCUAAACUUAAUUGUUUUGUACAAAGCUAAUUUUUUUUUAUUCUUGACACUUCUUUUCAAAGUUAUUUUUAGAUCUGUUUUUAUAAAUGGUCUUUAUUUCUGCCGCAUAUUUAUUCAACAAUGUACAUGUAUACAUGUAUAUCUUUGCUUAUUUGUCAGAGUGAUUUUUGGUGUGAUGUAAUCAUGUUUUGUAUUUGAGAGUUGAAAUAUCAGAAUGUUUCUAUUCAUCAGAAGCAGCUGAUUUAUGCAACAUAAAUUGUGACAUUCUGGUUCCUUCAGAUUUCAACAUUUACCAUUUUCAUUGUUGGUGCAAUCUAUCGGAACUUACUAGUGCUUUUUUUUUAACAUUCGUAGUAAUUCAUUGAAGAUGUUUUAUUAUUAUGUCUUUCUACCAGAAAUUGAGUCUCACUUAUUAUUAUAGAUCUGUACUGUUUGUUUGAUAUUAAAUGAUUUCUAUAUUAGCUUCACAAAAACAAUAGUGAUUUUCUGCACUGUCUUUCUUUAUAAAGUCGUUUGGAAAUUAAAAUACUAACCAAAACG
rnacentral:misc_RNA from 1 species